UAAACAAUAGGUUUGGUCCUGGCCUUUUUAUUAAUUGUUUGCAGAAUUAUACAUGCAAGAAUUCCCAUGCGAGUGAAAAUGCACUGUGCACCACAUCUUAGGCUAAAAGGAGUGGGUAUCAAGCACACUACAAAGUACCUCUCAACACCUUGCUUGGCCACAACCCCAUGGGAGACAGCAGGAGUAAAAAUUAAGCAAUAAAUGCAAGUUUGACUAAGUCAUGAAACUACCAGGGUUGGUAAAUUUUGUGCCAGCCACCGCGGUCAUACGAUUAACCCAAAUUAAUAAAACCCGGUGUAAAAGUGUUUUAGAAAGGCAAAAGUAAGUCUAAGCUUUAUCCAAGUCAUAGAAAACUCCAGAUAAAAGUCUAAACCAAAAAUGAAAGUAAUCUUAAUAAGUCUGAACAUAGGAAAGCUAAGGCCCAGACUGGGAUUAGAUAUCCCACUAUGCUUAGCUGUAAACAUGAAAACUUGCAUAACAAAAGUUUUUGCCUGAGAACCACUAGCAAAAACUUAAAACUCAAAGGACUUGGCAGUGCUUUACACCCACCUAGAAGAGCCUGUUCUAUAAUUGAUAAACCCCGAUACACCUCACCACCCCUUGCUAAUCUAGCCUAUAUACUGCCAUCUUCAGCAAACCCAAUUAUGGAAAUAAAGCAAGCACAAGUAUAUUACAUUAAAAACAUUAGGUCAAGGUGUAGCCAAUGGAGUGGGAAGAAAUGGGCUACAUUUUCUUACUGAAGACCUGUAGACCCCAAUCUUUGUAAAACCUAAGGACCUAAGGAGGAUUUAGUAGUAAACCAAAAAUAGAGAGCUUGGUUGAACUAGGCAGUGAAGCACGUACACAUUGCUCUUCACUCUCUUCAAGUACUCAAAAGUUUUCAAUCUAAAACUAAUAAAUCUAAGAGGGGACAAGUCAUAACAAGGUAAGCAUUGUAUAAUGAAUUAACUAGAAC
rfam:Cavia porcellus supercont2_149 genomic scaffold, whole genome shotgun sequence.